rnacentral:rRNA from 1 species
GACGAACGCUGGCGGCGUGCUUAACACAUGCAAGUCGAACGGAGUGGCGAACGGGUGAGUAACACGUGGGUGACCUGCCCUGCACUUCGGGAUAAGCCUGGGAGACUGGGUCUAAUACCGGAUAGUGUGGGAUGGGCCCGCGGCCUAUCCGCUUGUUGGUGGGGUAAUGGCCUACCAAGGCGGGGACGGGUAGCCGGCCUGGGAGUGUGGGCGGACCCAUGUGGACGCGGACACGGGCCAUGGUCCUAAGGGCGGCAGGAGUGGGGAAGUGUGCACAAUGGGGGACGCCUGAUGCAGCGACGCCGGGUGUGGGAUGACGGCCUUCGGGUUGUAAACUCCGUUCACCAUCGACGCGGUAGAUGGAGAAGAAGCACCGGCUAACUACGUGCCAGCAGCCGCGGUAAUUC